CUUAACACAUGCAAGUCGAGGGGCAGCAUGGUCUUAGCUUGCUAAGGCCGAUGGCGACCGGCGCACGGGUGAGUAACACGUAUCCAACCUGCCGUCUACUCUUGGACAGCCUUCUGAAAGGAAGAUUAAUACAAGAUGGCAUCAUGAGUCCGCAUGUUCACAUGAUUAAAGGUAUUCCGGUAGACGAUGGGGAUGCGUUCCAUUAGAUAGUAGGCGGGGUAACGGCCCACCUAGUCUUCGAUGGAUAGGGGUUCUGAGAGGAAGGUCCCCCACAUUGGAACUGAGACACGGUCCAAACUCCUACGGGAGGCAGCAGUGAGGAAUAUUGGUCAAUGGGCGAGAGCCUGAACCAGCCAAGUAGCGUGAAGGAUGACUGCCCUAUGGGUUGUAAACUUCUUUUAUAAAGGAAUAAAGUCGGGUAUGCAUACCCGUUUGCAUGUACUUUAUGAAUAAGGAUCGGCUAACUCCGUGCCAGCAGCCGCGGUAAUACGGAGGAUCCGAGCGUUAUCCGGAUUUAUUGGGUUUAAAGGGAGCGUAGAUGGAUGUUUAAGUCAGUUGUGAAAGUUUGCGGCUCAACCGUAAAAUUGCAGUUGAUACUGGAUAUCUUGAGUGCAGUUGAGGCAGGCGGAAUUCGUGGUGUAGCGGUGAAAUGCUUAGAUAUCACGAAGAACUCCGAUUGCGAAGGCAGCCUGCUAAGCUGCAACUGACAUUGAGGCUCGAAAGUGUGGGUAUCAAACAGGAUUAGAUACCCUGGUAGUCCACACGGUAAACGAUGAAUACUCGCUGUUUGCGAUAUACAGCAAGCGGCCAAGCGAAAGCGUUAAGUAUUCCACCUGGGGAGUACGCCGGCAACGGUGAAACUCAAAGGAAUUGACGGGGGCCCGCACAAGCGGAGGAACAUGUGGUUUAAUUCGAUGAUACGCGAGGAACCUUACCCGGGCUUAAAUUGCAGAUGAAUUACGGUGAAAGCCGUAAGCCGCAAGGCAUCUGUGAAGGUGCUGCAUGGUUGUCGUCAGCUCGUGCCGUGAGGUGUCGGCUUAAGUGCCAUAACGAGCGCAACCCUUGUUGUCAGUUACUAACAGGUUCCGCUGAGGACUCUGACAAGACUGCCAUCGUAAGAUGUGAGGAAGGUGGGGAUGACGUCAAAUCAGCACGGCCCUUACGUCCGGGGCUACCCACGUGUUACAAUGGGGGGGUACAGAGGGCCGCUACCACGCGAGUGGAUGCCAAUCCCCAAAACCUCUCUCAGUUCGGACUGGAGUCUGCAACCCGACUCCACGAAGCUGGAUUCGCUAGUAAUCGCGCAUCAGCCACGGCGCGGUGAAUACGUUCCCGGGCCUUGUACACACCGCCCGUCAAGCCAUGGGAGCCGGGGGUACCUGAAGUGCGUAACCGGGAGGAGCGCCCUAGGGUAAAACUGGUGACUGGGGCUAAG
rnacentral:rRNA from 1 species